rnacentral:rRNA from 1 species
AUUGAACGCUGGCGGCAUGCUUUACACAUGCAAGUCGAACGGCAGCACGGGUGCUUGCACCUGGUGGCGAGUGGCGAACGGGUGAGUAAUGCAUCGGAACGUGCCCAUGAGUGGGGGAUAGCCCGGCGAAAGCCGGAUUAAUACCGCAUACGCCCUUAGGGGGAAAGCGGGGGAUCUUCGGACCUCGCGCUAUUGGAGCGGCCGAUGUCGGAUUAGCUAGUAGGUGAGGUAAAGGCUCACCUAGGCGACGAUCCGUAGCUGGUCUGAGAGGAUGAUCAGCCACACUGGGACUGAGACACGGCCCAGACUCCUACGGGAGGCAGCAGUGGGGAAUUUUGGACAAUGGGCGCAAGCCUGAUCCAGCCAUGCCGCGUGAGUGAAGAAGGCCUCGGUGUAAG